ensembl:snoRNA
GGUGAUGAUGAUGAUAAAGAUGAAGACAAAUGCACAGCCACAGUAUUUACC